rnacentral:rRNA from 1 species
CGUUAAGUUGCAGGGUAUAGACCCGAAACCCGGUGAUCUAGCCAUGGGCAGGUUGAAGGUUGGGUAACACUAACUGGAGGACCGAACCGACUAAUGUUGAAAAAUUAGCGGAUGACCUGUGGCUGGGGGUGAAAGGCCAAUCAAACCGGGAGAUAGCUGGUUCUCCCCGAAAGCUAUUUAGGUAGCGCCUCGUGAAUUCAUCUCCGGGGGUAGAGCACUGUUUCGGCUAGGGGGCCAUCCCGGCUUACCAACCCGAUGCAAACUGCGAAUACCGGAGAAUGUUAUCACGGGAGACACACGGCGGGUGCUAACGUCCGUCGUGAAGAGGGAAACAACCCAGACCGCCAGCUAAGGUCCCAAAGUCAUGGUUAAGUGGGAAACGAUGUGGGAAGGCCCAGACAGCCAGGAUGUUGGCUUAGAAGCAGCCAUCAUUUAAAGAAAGCGUAAUAGCUCACUGGUCGAGUCGGCCUGCGCGGAAGAUGUAACGGGGCUAAACCAUGCACCGAAGCUGCGGCAGCGACACUGUGUGUUGUUGGGUAGGGGAGCGUUCUGUAAGCCUGUGAAGGUGUGUCGUGAGGCAUGCUGGAGGUAUCAGAAGUGCGAAUGCUGACAUAAGUAACGAUAAAGCGGGUGAAAAGCCCGCUCGCCGGAAGACCAAGGGUUCCUGUCCAACGUUAAUCGGGGCAGGGUGAGUCGACCCCUAAGGCGAGGCCGAAAGGCGUAGUCGAUGGGAAACGGGUUAAUAUUCCCGUACUUGGUGUUACUGCGAAGGGGGGACGGAGAAGGCUAUGUUGGCCGGGCGACGGUUGUCCCGGUUUAAGCGUGUAGGUGUGUGUUCCAGGUAAAUCCGGUUCACUUUAACACUGAGGCGUGACGACGAGGCACUACGGUGCUGAAGCAACAAAUGCCCUGCUUCCAGGAAAA